rnacentral:rRNA from 1 species
UACGUAGGGUGCAAGCGUUGUCCGGAAUUAUUGGGCGUAAAGAGCUCGUAGGCGGCUUGUCGCGUCGGCUGUGAAAACCUGGGGCUCAACCCCGGGCCUGCAGCCGAUACGGGCAGACUAGAGUACGGCAGGGGAGACUGGAAUUCCUGGUGUAGCGGUGAAAUGCGCAGAUAUCAGGAGGAACACCGGUGGCGAAGGCGGGUCUCUGGGCCGAUAUUGACGCUGAGGAGCGAAAGCGUGGGGAGCGAACAGG